UACGUAGGUGACCAGCGUUGUCCGGAUUUACUGGGCGUAAAGAGCGCGCAGGCGGUCGUUCAAGUCGAGUGUGAAAGCCCCCGGCUCAACUGGGGAGGGUCACUUGAUACUGAUCGACUCGAAGGCAGGAGAGGGAAGCGGAAUUCCCGGUGUAGCGGUGAAAUGCGUAGAUAUCUGGAGGAACACCGGUGGCGAAGGCGGCAUCCUGGACCAACACUGACACUGAGGAGCGAAAGCCAGGGGAGCAAACGGG
rnacentral:rRNA from 1 species